UACGUAGGGGGCAAGCGUUGUCCGGAUUUAUUGGGCGUAAAGAGCGUGUAGGCGGCCUGAAAGGUCAGCUGUGAAAACUCGAGGCUCAACCUCGAGACGUCGGUUGAAACCAUCUGGCUAGAGUCCGGAAGAGGAGAGUGGAAUUCCCGGUGUAGCGGUGAAAUGCGCAGAUAUUCGCAAGAACACCAGUGGCGAAGGCGGCUCACUGGCCCGAUACUGACGCUGAGGCACGAAAGCGUGGGGAGCGAACAGG
rnacentral:rRNA from 1 species